rnacentral:rRNA from 1 species
GCUCAGGAUGAACGCUGGCGGCGUGCUUAACACAUGCAAGUCGAACGGUGAACACGGAGCUUGCUCUGUGGGAUCAGUGGCGAACGGGUGAGUAACACGUGAGCAACCUGCCCCUGACUCUGGGAUAAGCGCUGGAAACGGCGUCUAAUACUGGAUACGAACCAUGAAGGCAUCUUCAGUGGUUGGAAAGAUUUAUUGGUUGGGGAUGGGCUCGCGGCCUAUCAGCUUGUUGGUGAGGUAAUGGCUCACCAAGGCGUCGACGGGUAGCCGGCCUGAGAGGGUGACCGGCCACACUGGGACUGAGACACGGCCCAGACUCCUACGGGAGGCAGCAGUGGGGAAUAUUGCACAAUGGGCGCAAGCCUGAUGCAGCAACGCCGCGUGAGGGAUGACGGCCUUCGGGUUGUAAACCUCUUUUAGCAGGGAAGAAGCGAAAGU